UGGGGAAUCUUCCGCAAUGGGGCGCAAGCCUGACGGAGCAACGCCGCGUGAGUGAAGAAGGUUUUCGGAUCGUAAAGCUCUGUUGAGAGGGACGAGAGAUAUAAUCAGGAAAUGGGUUAUAGAGGACGGUACCUUUCGAGGAAGCCACGGCUAACUACGUGCCAGCAGCCGCGGUAAUACGUAGGUGGCGAGCGUUGUCCGGAAUUAUUGGGCGUAAAGGGAGCGCAGGUGGGAAGGUAAGUCUAUCUUAAAAGUGCGGGGCUCAACCCCGUGAGGGGAUGGAAACUAUCUUUCUUGAGUGCAGGAGAGGAAAGCGGAAUUCCUAGUGUAGCGGUGAAAUGCGUAGAUAUUAGGAGGAACACCAGUGGCGAAGGCGGCUUUCUGGACUGUAACUGACGCU
rnacentral:rRNA from 1 species